rnacentral:rRNA from 1 species
GACAGAGGGUGCAAACGUUGUUCGGAAUUACUGGGCGUAAAGCGCGUGUAGGCGGCCUUGCAAGUCGGAUGUGAAAGCCCUGGGCUCAACCCAGGAAGUGCACUCGAAACUGCAAGGCUUGAGUUCCGGAGAGGAAAGCGGAAUUCUCGGUGUAGAGGUGAAAUUCGUAGAUAUCGGGAGGAACACCAGUGGCGAAGGCGGCGAUCUGGGGAAGAUACUGACGCUGAGGCGCGAAGGCCAGGGGAGCGAACGGGG